rnacentral:rRNA from 1 species
AGCGAACGCUGGCGGCAGGCCUAACACAUGCAAGUCGAACGGAUCCUUCGGGAUUAGUGGCGGACGGGUGAGUAACACGUGGGAACGUGCCCUUUGGUUCGGAACAACUCAGGGAAACUUGAGCUAAUACCGGAUGUGCCCUUCGGGGGAAAGAUUUAUCGCCAUUGGAGCGGCCCGCAUCGGAUUAGCUAGUUGGUGAGGUAAAGGCUCACCAAGGCGACGAUCAGUAGCUGGUCUGAGAGGAUGAUCAGCCACAGUGGGACUGAGACACGGCCCAAACUCCUACGGGAGGCAGCAGUGGGGAAUCUUGCGCAAUGGGCGAAAGCCUGACGCAGCCAUGCCGCGUGAAUGAUGAAGGUCUUAGGAUUGUAAAAUUCUUUCACCGGGGACGAUAAUGACGGUACCCGGAGAAGAAGCCCCGGCUAACUUCGUGCCAGCCGCCGCAGUAA